UGAAUACGAGAUGCUACGGCGUCGAAGCAGUCUAUGUCAUACUUCCAAGAAAAGCUUGCACUGUCAUAAACAAAUAAUGCCUGUACCAUAACCGACACAGGUGGGUAGGUAGAGUAUACUAAGGGGCGCGAGAUAACUCUCUCUAAGGAACUCGGCAAAAUGACUCCGUAACUUCGGGAGAAGGAGUGCCUUAUUUAUAAGGUUGCAAUAACAAGAUCCAAGCAACUGUUUACCAAAAACACAGGUCUCCGCUAAGUCGUAAGACGAUGUAUGGGGGCUGACGCCUGCCCAGUGCCAGAAGGUUAAAGAAGUUGGUUAGCAUCCGCGAAGCUGAUAACUGAAGCCCUGGUGAACGGCGGCCGUAACAAUAACGGUCCUAAGGUAGCGAAAUUCCUUGUCGGGUAAGUUCCGACCCGCACGAAAGGCGUAAUGAUUUGGAUACUGUCUCGGAGAGGGGCUCGGUGAAAUAGACUUGUCUGUGAAGAUGCGGACUACCUGCACCAGGACAGAAAGACCCUAUGAAGCUUUACUGUAACCUGAAAUUGAAAUUGGACUUUACUUGCGCAGUAUAGGUGGGAGGCGUUGAGAAUAUUCUUGCGGGAUUAUUGGAGCCAUCAGUGAGAUACCACUCUUGUAAUGUUAGAUUUCUAACUUUGUAUCAUUAUCUGGUCAAAGAACAGUUUCAGGCGGGCAGUUUGACUGGGGCGGUCGCCUCCUAAACGGUAACGGAGGCGCACAAAGGUUUCCUCUGAACGGGUAGAAAUCGUAUCUAGAGUGUAAAGGCAUAAGGAAGCUUGACUGUGAGACCUACAAGUCGAGCAGGGACGAAAGUCGGUCUUAGUGAUCUGACGGUGCUGAGUGGAAAGGCCGUCACUCAACGGAUAAAAGUUACUCUAAGGAUAACAGGCUGAUCUCCCCCAAGAGUUCACAUCGACGGGGAGGUUUGGCACCUCGAUGUCGGCUCAUCGCAUCCUGGGGCGGUAGUACGUCCCAAGGGUUGGGCUGUUCGCCCAUGAAAGCGGUACGCGAGCUGGGUUCAGAACGUCGUGAGACAGUUCGGUCCAUAUCCGGUGUAGGCGUUAGAAUAUUGAGAGGAGCCUUCUUUAGUACGAGAGGACCGAGAAGGACAUACCUCUGGUGUACCAGUUAUCGUGCCAACGGUAAACGCUGGGUAGCUAUGUGUGGAGUGGAUAACCGCUGAAAGCAUCUAAGUGGGAAGCCCACCUCAAGAUAAGUAUUCCC
rnacentral:rRNA from 1 species